UCACAAGACCCCACUGCCACUCCCAGCAGGAAGGAAGUGCUAGUCACAAGACGCCAACUGCCACUCCCAGUUGUCCCCUUCCCCCACAAACUGUCAGUCUUAUUUCCUUUCCCACAAACCCCCAACUUCAGUCCCCAGAAGUCCUUGGUAUUUCCCAGAAUUCCUUAUAAUCUCACCUGAGUCUCCACCUGGGCAAGAUCACAAUUAGUAUUUAACUGUCAGUAACAUCUCCCAAGCGCUCUCUCCUCUUCCAUUGCAAUUAUGUAUGGAUCAUGGCCAGAUAGGACGAGGAAAUGGAUCUCAUUUUGAAAAUGAACUGUUUGGAAAAGACACCAUGAAGAUGUCUCCACAGACCACAUGCUACACCAGAAGAUCAAGAGUGAAAUUUGGGAUGUGGUGAUUUGAACUGUGUGGGUUUAAAAUGCAUUUGUUUUGUAUGUAUACUCUUAUGCCAAAUGGGACUGCCUCCUAACUGACUUUUUGUCAAUGUGCCUAGCAAUCUUUGGGUUUAGUUCUCUUUUCCUCUUAUCCUCAAAUUAUUGUAUGUUUAUAAUACCCACCCGAGAGACUAGUCUUCCUCAGACCUCAUGAGGAAAUGUCAAAAUGGAGAUUUUGAAACCCAGACUUCAGUCCCCAGAAGUCCUUGGUAUUUCCCAGAAUUCCCUACAAUCUUACCUGAGUCUCCACCUGGGUGAGAUCACAAUUAGUAUUUAACUGGCAGUAACACCUCCCAAGCGUUCUCUCCUCUUCCAUUGCAAUGAUGUAGUAAGUCAGCGUUGAAUGGGCUAAUCAACCCUGGCACGUGGUUAUUAUUUUGUAUCCUUGGUUCUAAUAAUCUUUAAUAAACCUCAUAAAAUAUAAUACUUUUACUAUUAG
rnacentral:lncRNA from 1 species